AUACGGAGGGUGCAAGCGUUGUUCGGAAUUAUUGGGCGUAAAGAGCAUGUAGGCGGACUAUUAAGUCUGGUGUGAAAGCCCGGGGCUCAACCCCGGAAGUGCAUUGGAUACUGGUAGUCUUGAGUAUGGGAGAGGAAAGUGGAAUUUCGAGUGUAGGAGUGAAAUCCGUAGAUAUUCGGAGGAACACCAGUGGCGAAGGCGGCUUUCUGGACCAAUACUGACGCUGAGAUGCGAAAGCGUGGGGAGCGAACAGGAUUAGAUACCCUAGUAGUCC
rnacentral:rRNA from 1 species